UCCGACUGCGAGCGGAUGAAGUACGCAAAAAUGGCGAAGAAGGGCAAGAGGAGGGGCCGCUGAAGAAGCUCUUCAGGGUAUCCGGAGAACCUGGACCGACAAAAUUCCUUCCCCAUAUUGCUCGGCAUUUUCAGGUUACCACUUCCUGUCACUCCCUGAAGACCCCCCACGUGUCGUGGACCCGGGACCCCCUCGUCGGAAUUCUCUCAGACUUUGUCGUUGGUGAUUUUUUACAUGUCUGGAAUCCACUCGUCCUCAGCAAAGUCUUCUAGUUUGUAACCCCUGUACGUUUAAUAUGAACACUGUACUCGCACUUGAAGCACCGAA